rnacentral:lncRNA from 1 species
UUCUGAAUUCAAGUGAUCUUUACUUCAGUUAAAUGAAUCAAAGGUUAAAAAAAUGAAGCAGAUGGCACACAUCCAACCAAAGCUAGAAAAACUGUUGCGUCAAGACGAACUUCCUGCGAUGGAACAUGAUAAGACGUCAACCUCAGCAGUGGCACUUCAUUCAUUGAGGGACGCAGACGCAGCACCGCAGCUCUCAGGUAACAGCGCUUUUUCAUCCUCUGAGCAACAGCGGCUUCCACAACUCCACUACAUGUCUACAUCUUUGGAAAAGAGACUCAGUGAAGGUUGUUUUUUAUCUUUAAAGAGGAUUAAAUGUUUUCCUUUUCAGACAUGAAGAGAGGGCGGCUCCUCUUUGCGCUUUGGUGCUUCAGCAUCCAGGCAGGGACGGUCUGCCCCACAGGUCCGACAUGUGUGAGCGACUAUUACCAAAACAUCAGCUGCACGUUCGAUGCGCUGGACCAACCCAGCACCCACUACCUGUCCAUCAAAGGGUAUUAAAUGGAGUUUGAAUAAACACUCGGGGAAACGUUGACAGAAUUGACUUAAAUUCUCCUCUGUGUCAUUUUUAGGGAAAACUGUUCACUCACAGCUGUGGAUCACAAAUUCAGAGCCGACUGUCGGGUCUGCAAAGAUAAAAAUUAUUUCAUUAAAGAGGAUAAAGUCGACAUCUACCUCUGUAAUGUAAAUUCCGGCUGCAGACGUAUCCUAAAAGAUUUCUUUCCAUGUAAAAACAGUAAGUGGGAUUAAAUAUGAUCAUGUGAUCCUUGAAGCUCCUCAAAUAACAUUUUGCUCCUGAAUGUCCCUGAAUAGUUAAGCUGACGCCGCCUGACAUUAAGGUCCAGCAUGCAGCAGAGCCCAUCAAAGUUACUACUAUAGGAACAUCGAAAAGCAUUUACUUAAAGGGUUUCCUGGAAUUUCAAAUGGCCCUUCAGAGAUCUGGCAGCAGCGAUAUCAGAAAUGCAUUCUAUAACUCGACCGGAGCGUAUUUUAUGAUUGAAAGAUCGACUCUGAAACCAGGAGCUCAGUACUGCGUCAAAGUCCGCCUCACGGUUCAGAAGGGAUACCACUAUGAAGCCGUUUGGAGUGACUGGAGUAGAGCCGAGUGCUGGACAGUCGACAAAGAACAAGAUGGCCUUUUGAUCAUUCUGGUGAAAACCUUGGGCCCGGUGGGUCUGUCUGUUGUGGUCCUGCUGUCUGUGUGCUGCAGUCCCACCGCCAGAAUGAAGCUGAAAACUCUGUCCCACACGCCGACCCCAGCCACCUUCUUUCAGCCUCUGUUCAAGCAGGACAAGAGGAAUCUGCAGGAGUGGUUCUCAAAAAACAGAAAUUUUGUGCUGGCAUACAAAACUGAAGAGGACUUGAGGGCCGACUCUGUGACUGUUGUGCCCAGAACCACGACAAAGGAGCGUGAGGAGAUCGUCCCCGACUCCUCUGUGACCCCCCUCGUGCUCCCUAUGGUUUUCCCUGUGGGUCAGCUCUCCUACGUCGGCUUACCUGGAUUCCAUGAGGCUCCGGCUCCAGUGCUCAACGCCGGGGACGGUCAAUACACCCAGCUCCCGUGUCCCGCCUGGGAAUUCGGCAUCUCAGAAGGGGAGUUAGCAUCUUCUUCGUCUGAAAGCCCCCUAGAGAUCAGCAACGCCGACUCUGGCUGCAGCUGUGAAGGCCUGAGCAGAAGCCCAGACUGCUGUUUACCCAGCAGCCCCUUUGGUAAAUGUGUGCCGCUACAGUUUGGCCAGGAUUACUGCAUCCUUAACAAAACAACCGAGGGGGUUGUUCCUGUUCUGGUGUCCAAAAUACAGGUUUCCUCUGACGUCCUGCAAGAAAAAGAGCCAAACCAGAGCUGAUCAGACUGAGCACUGCAGGAGGCUUUGACAAAACAUUUUAUUCUUCCUCAUGACUGUUUUCAGCCGCUGCAUCCUUUACGGUUAGAUUUAUUUCUUUAAGCAAACAGCACAACUUCUGCCUUACUACUUUUUAUUAAAAUGUUGUAUUUCUGCAUGUUUU